AGGAAAGACAGCCAGUGACUUCCAUGCUGGGUCCUGAGGAGGACUCCCCUCUCCAGGUUGAAGCCAAGUCCCUAUUGCUGAAGAUACCACACACUUGCAAUAAAGGACAUGGAGGACCCAAGCUGGAUCCGACCUAAGGACUAACUUCCAUAGUCUCAGAAGUGCUAUGCCAGCUGCCAAGGACAGAAAGCAACCAACAGCCCUACUUACUUAGCUGUGAAGUUUAUGAACCACGUUGGCCAACAUGGCAAGAUAUCCAUAAGGGUGGCACUCAUAUCUUGUGAGUAACCAACAGCUAUCUCAUUGGACCCAAGGCCCACUUAACAAGAGGGAAACCUAGCUAAUUCCCUGAGUGAGGUCAUGAGCCUUAGAGGAGAACCUACAACCACCACUUCACUAAAACAGAUUAAUUCCUAAGAACAUUCUAAAUACUUACUCUUUUUUAAAAAAAGAUUUAUUUAUUUAUAUAUAUGAGUACACUGUCACUGUCUUCAGACACACUAGAAUAGGGCAUCAGAUCCCAUUACAGAUGGUUGUGAGCCACCAUGUGGGUGCCAGGAAUUGAACUCAUGACCUCUGGAAGAACAAUCAGUGCUCUUAACCACUGAGCCAUCUCUCCAGCCCCUAAAUACUUCUCCCCACAGAUAAAUGUAGCUUCCAAGGCUCACUAAAGAAGCCUCUCUUUGCAACAGACUGGUCACAAUCCAGAGAGCAACUGAUCGUCGGGUACCCAGCCCCAACAGAUACAUCUAUAGGAUAACUCACACACCCAGGGCUCGGGAACAUCAUGGAAGAAGGGUAGACAAAUUGUAAGAGCCAGGGGACCAGGAUGUUUGCUGAGAGACGUGCCUCCUAGAAAUACUACGAAAGCUUCUUCCAUGACACCUCAACAGCGUGGCUGCCCAAACAAGACUUGAACAGCUCUAGAUGAAGAACUACAGGCAACUAACAAUUGUGAAAGAGGGAGAAAGAGUCUUCUCCAGGGGUGAGCCCCCAAUUAGUCAUCCAAUGCCAGUGGUCAGUUCUGAAAUCAUAUAUACAAGCAACACUGAAUAGACUCAGCAGGUAAUAUUUUUGUAUUUAUGCAUACACACACACACACACACACACACACACACACACGGACAUAUAUAUGGAAAAGGCCAGGAAUUUAAGAGGAGGGGAUUGGAUAGAGUACUACGCAGGACUGAAGAAUGAAGCUGGAGUCUAUGCUCUGCCAUUACAAGAAUGGCUGUGAUGUGCUCUUAGGCUGCAGAGCAGUGUGUAUGGGUCAAUUCUGCUUUUGCAGCAGUAGCAACUAGAAAGAAUGGAUCCGGAAGGAAACUUACCAAAUCACUAAAAUGUAAACUUACUCUCUC
ensembl:lincRNA Gm28441 predicted gene 28441